ACUCAACAUUAAUUCUUUAUAAAGGGUGAGUUUAAGCUGUAAAAGCGGGCUGUCUUUGAACAGAUACUUGAGCAGUUUGUUAGCCCUAAACCUGUUUUUCAGGAGUUU
rnacentral:sRNA from 2 species